rnacentral:sRNA from 1 species
AAUAAAUGUAAUCCAGUAACUUAAGGCCAUCUUUUGGGGCAGCAAACAAAGGAGAAGGUGAAGCUUCUGAUUCAGCUGGCCGAUAGCUUUGUGGAAAAAGGCCACAUUCAUGCCACGGAGAUAAGGAAAUGGGUGACAACGGUGGACAAGCACUACAGAGAUUUCUCCCUGAGGAUGGGGAAGUACCGGUACUCACUGGAGAAAGCCCUAGGAGUCAACACAGAGGAUAAUAAGGACCUGGAGCUGGAUAUUAUCCCAGCAAGCCUUUCGGAUCGGGAGGUCAAGCUGCGGGACGCCAACCACGAAGUCAAUGAAGAGAAGCGGAAGUCAGCCCGGAAGAAAGAAUUUAUUAUGGCUGAACUACUCCAGACAGAGAAGGCUUAUGUAAGGGAUUUGCAUGAGUGCUUAGAGACCUACCUGUGGGAAAUGACCAGUGGUGUGGAGGAGAUCCCCCCUGGGAUCCUCAACAAAGAGCAUAUCAUCUUUGGCAACAUCCAAGAGAUCUACGAUUUCCAUAACAAGUAGGUUUGUGGAGGGUCUCAGAGGUGCACACUUAGGCCGU